UCUUCUACUUUCCACACUUCACUAUCUAAAAUUCUUUGCCACUCAUUUACUAUACUUUUAGAGGACAAGAGAUUCCCUGUACGUUUAUCGCACAAGAGGUUCCCUGUUACCUUUGCAGCAAGAGGCAGGCCUUUGCACUUGCGUGCAAUUUGUCGUGCGAUUGGUUCUAAUUUUUCACGAUCAACAGAAGAAUGACCGAAAAAUGCGAACCGCUCGAACAACGACCAGAAUUCAUCUUCAGGCAAUGGCUUAAUGGAGAUAAUAUUUGUUGAUCUCAUCAUACGGGCAACUGACACAUUACGUGUGGUAACCACAAUUUUACUUCCGGGAAGACCAUUCUUUAGACAAAAGAAGAAUUGAGCCCAUAUAUUAUAAUUCCCAUCCCAUACAUCAUCUAAGACAAGAAAAAUUUUUUUCCCUUCAAUUGAUCUAUGGAUAUGGCUCAUAAGAGAUUGGAAUUCGCUUAAACCAGAAGCUUCUUUUGACUCGUCUAGACCUUCAAUAAUUGCUUUGGCGACCCUCAUCUCAUCAAAAGUGUCCGAUACACACACCCAUAUAACUUUUUCAAAAUUUAUUUUCACCUCAUCAUUAUUAUAGGCUAGUUGUGCAAGAGUGGUUUUACCUAUACCCCCUAACCCAACCAGUGAGAUGAUAUGAGGAUGUUGUUCGCCAUUCUCACCCAACAACUUACCUAACAGCUCAUUUUUCUCGUCAUCUCUACCAAAAACCUCUCCCUCAUCAAUCAAGAAGGUGGUUCGCACUCGCUCUGGUUUCUUAACAUUGUUACUCACAUUCUCAACAAAUUUGAAACUAUCUUUUUGUCUGGCAAUAUCAUCUAGCUUUUCACUGAUUUCUCUAAUCUUGACAGCAAUAUCAUGACGAAGACUGAGUUGUUUGAAACCACCAAAGCAGUUUGAGGCAGCAGGAAAGAAGGAACAUACCUUCGUCAAAAGAGUAACAAAAGCAUUGGCGUCAUCAUCAUCAUCAUCAUCGCCGUCCUCAUCAAGCUGCAAUUUCCGUGUUUCAGUGAUCCACUCUUCCAACACAUCUUCCAUGUCGUAGGAUGCGUCUCUGAGCUGAUCCAGCCAAAAAGUAACAGCGUUGUCCUGCUUCAUUUGCCUCUGCUCUGCAUCUUCCAGCACAGCUUGAAUGGCUCAUUACUCAGCCCUUCUACUCUACAUUCACGAAGGAGUUGAAGAUUUUUCAGAGAUUCAAGCCUACACGUAUUGUUACCAUCAACACCUCCACCCACAACAAACUUUUCUAAUGUUCGAAGGCUGGUCAAUCUGGAAAUCCCUAUUGGCAGGUACUUCAACGAACUAGUAUCACCAUUUAGUAAACUCCUCAUGUUCUUUAACUUCCCAAUCCCCGUAGGCAAUUCUCUUAGAUCUUGGCACCGCCUAAUAUCUAGCUUUUGUAAAUUAUAUAAUUCACACAAAGUCUCAGGUAGACUCUCUAUACGUAGUCCAGACAAAUUAAGAUAUUUUAAAUGUAUCAAUUUUUCAACAUUUUCUGGAAUUUCUCUAAUCAAAUUUAGGUCAGGACGAAAAAUUGGGGACGGUUGGCUUAUAACUAAUGCCCUUAAACACGCCAAUUUACUAAAUAACUCCCGAAGGAUACUACUAUUAAGAGAUGGAUUGGAAGGACUUUCAUCAUCAAUUCCGAGUCCAGGACUGGACACAAGAUAUAAAACUGCAUUGACAAGACUAUAAGCGGAUGAAAUAGCCAUGGAUUGAAAUAAAGAUGGAUUGUAAUGACUUGUAUCAUAAAUUAAGAGGCUACGCAAUCGAUCAAAUUCAAAAAAGGACAUAGGAAAUGAAGCUCCUCUUUGAAAAUUUAACCCUAUGUGACGGACUUUCUCACCAAAAAAGUUUAUGACUAAUUCCUUGGUACCAUUUAUUUCUACCCACAAACAUUCUUUUCUACUUACAAAUUGGGCAAAAUCAUGUACUAUGUCAUGCAUCUUACACCUCAGAAUAUCAUCAUCGUCAUCAUCUUUUUCAAACUCUUGAAAGAAAGAGCGUGUUGCUAAGAUGUUGAAAUACUCUUCUCCAAUCAUCUCCAUUUCUUCGUCUUCAUCUGCAUUAAGGUAACCUUGAGCCAUCCAUAGAUUAAUCAAUUCCCUUUUAUUCAUAUUGUAGUCUUUUGGAAAGACAGCACAAUAUGAGAAGCACCGUUUUACCAUAGAAUUGGAGGGCAAAUCGUUAUAACUCAACAACAAAGGAGCCAAAAGACCUUGCUUAAUCUCUUCUACUUUCCACACUUCACUAUCUAAAAUUCUUUGCCACUCAUUUACUAUACUUUUAGAGGACAAGAGAUUCCCUGUACGUUUAUCGCACAAGAGGUUCCCUGUUACCUUUGCAGCAAGAGGCAGGCCUUUGCACUUGCGUGCAAUUUGUCGUGCGAUUGGUUCUAAUUUUUCACGAUCAACAGAAGAAUGACCGAAAAAUGCGAACCGCUCGAACAACGACCAGAAUUCAUCUUCAGGCAAUGGCUUAAUGGAGAUAAUAUUUGUUGAUCUCAUCAUACGGGCAACUGACACAUUACGUGUGGUAACCACAAUUUUACUUCCGGGAAGACCAUUCUUUAGACAAAAGAAGAAUUGAGCCCAUAUAUUAUAAUUCCCAUCCCAUACAUCAUCUAAGACAAGAAAAAUUUUUUUCCCUUCAAUUGAUCUAUGGAUAUGGCUCAUAAGAGAUUGGAAUUCGCUUAAACCAGAAGCUUCUUUUGACUCGUCUAGACCUUCAAUAAUUGCUUUGGCGACCCUCAUCUCAUCAAAAGUGUCCGAUACACACACCCAUAUAACUUUUUCAAAAUUUAUUUUCACCUCAUCAUUAUUAUAGGCUAGUUGUGCAAGAGUGGUUUUACCUAUACCCCCUAACCCAACCAGUGAGAUGAUAUGAGGAUGUUGUUCGCCAUUCUCACCCAACAACUUACCUAACAGCUCAUUUUUCUCGUCAUCUCUACCAAAAACCUCUCCCUCAUCAAUCAAGAAGGUGGUUCGCACUCGCUCUGGUUUCUUAACAUUGUUACUCACAUUCUCAACAAAUUUGAAACUAUCUUUUUGUCUGGCAAUAUCAUCUAGCUUUUCACUGAUUUCUCUAAUCUUGACAGCAAUAUCAUGACGAAGACUGAGUUGUUUGAAACCACCAAAGCAGUUUGAGGCAGCAGGAAAGAAGGAACAUACCUUCGUCAAAAGAGUAACAAAAGCAUUGGCGUCAUCAUCAUCAUCAUCAUCGCCGUCCUCAUCAAGCUGCAAUUUCCGUGUUUCAGUGAUCCACUCAUCCAACACAUCUUCCAUGUCGUAGGAUGCGUCUCUGAGCUGAUCCAGCCAAAAAGUAACAGCGUUGUCCUGCUUCAUUUGCCUCUGCUCUGCAUCUUCCAGCACAGCUUGAAUGGCUUGAAGAUUGGUGGU
rnacentral:lncRNA from 1 species